rnacentral:rRNA from 2 species
AAAUUGAAGAGUUUGAUCAUGGCUCAGAUUGAACGCUGGCGGCAGGCCUAACACAUGCAAGUCGAACGGUAACAGGAAGCAGCUUGCUGCUUUGCUGACGAGUGGCGGACGGGUGAGUAAUGUCUGGGAAACUGCCUGAUGGAGGGGGAUAACUACUGGAAACGGUGGCUAAUACCGCAUAACGUCGCAAGACCAAAGAGGGGGACCUUCGGGCCUCUUGCCAUCAGAUGUGCCCAGAUGGGAUUAGCUUGUUGGUGAGGUAACGGCUCACCAAGGCGACGAUCCCUAGCUGGUCUGAGAGGAUGACCAGCCACACUGGAACUGAGACACGGUCCAGACUCCUACGGGAGGCAGCAGUGGGGAAUAUUGCACAAUGGGCGCAAGCCUGAUGCAGCCAUGCCGCGUGUAUGAAGAAGGCCUUCGGGUUGUAAAGUACUUUCAGCGGGGAGGAAGGUGUUGUGGUUAAUAACCGCAGCAAUUGACGUUACCCGCAGAAGAAGCACCGGCUAACUCCGUGCCAGCAGCCGCGGUAAUACGGAGGGUGCAAGCGUUAAUCGGAAUUACUGGGCGUAAAGCGCACGCAGGCGGUCUGUCAAGUCGGAUGUGAAAUCCCCGGGCUCAACCUGGGAACUGCAUUCGAAACUGGCAGGCUUGAGUCUUGUAGAGGGGGUAGAAUUCCAGGUGUAGCGGUGAAAUGCGUAGAGAUCUGGAGGAAUACCGGUGGCGAAGGCGGCCCCCUGGACAAAGACUGACGCUCAGGUGCGAAAGCGUGGGGAGCAAACAGGAUUAGAUACCCUGGUAGUCCACGCCGUAAACGAUGUCUACUUGGAGGUUGUGCCCUUGAGGCGUGGCUUCCGGAGCUAACGCGUUAAGUAGACCGCCUGGGGAGUACGGCCGCAAGGUUAAAACUCAAAUGAAUUGACGGGGGCCCGCACAAGCGGUGGAGCAUGUGGUUUAAUUCGAUGCAACGCGAAGAACCUUACCUGGUCUUGACAUCCACAGAACUUUCCAGAGAUGGACUGGUGCCUUCGGGAACUGUGAGACAGGUGCUGCAUGGCUGUCGUCAGCUCGUGUUGUGAAAUGUUGGGUUAAGUCCCGCAACGAGCGCAACCCUUAUCCUUUGUUGCCAGCGAUUAGGUCGGGAACUCAAAGGAGACUGCCAGUGAUAAACUGGAGGAAGGUGGGGAUGACGUCAAGUCAUCAUGGCCCUUACGACCAGGGCUACACACGUGCUACAAUGGCGCAUACAAAGAGAAGCGACCUCGCGAGAGCAAGCGGACCUCAUAAAGUGCGUCGUAGUCCGGAUUGGAGUCUGCAACUCGACUCCAUGAAGUCGGAAUCGCUAGUAAUCGUGGAUCAGAAUGCCACGGUGAAUACGUUCCCGGGCCUUGUACACACCGCCCGUCACACCAUGGGAGUGGGUUGCAAAAGAAGUAGGUAGCUUAACCUUCGGGAGGGCGCUUACCACUUUGUGAUUCAUGACUGGGGUGAAGUCGUAACAAGGUAACCGUAGGGGAACCUGCGGUUGGAUCACCUCCUUA